rnacentral:lncRNA from 1 species
GGGGUCCCUGACUUCCUGCAACAGCCACUGGCGUCGGAAAUGCUGCCCUUCUGUAGGGUCAGGCGGAGAGAGGUGAUUGCAUCAGGCUGCCUGACACUGGCUGGCAGAAGCUGAAAUUCUCAAGCUAUGCCCAGUGAACUGCUUCCUGGUAAAUACUUCACGUCCUCAGCAGCACAAUGAAGUUAGAAAAAAAUGCAAAAAUACUUCCUGAGUGAAUAAAUGAUGAUGUUUUUUGUAAUGCAAUGCACACACAAACACACCACUUCCAAGGAAGGGAAUCAUUAAAAUAUUUUUAACCCAUUUCACAUCAAUAUUGCCCAUGUUAUCUGAAUCACCACUUGGCAAAAUGAUAUAUAUAUAUAUAUCAUUAAAUUGGACUGUGAGAGCUGACCAUAAACACGUUGCAGAAGAAAGUCCUGGUUUGUGAAGACAGGUGAAAGGAGAAAGUGCUUGCCUGCUAAUGGAAGAUAAAUUACCCAGGAAGGUAAAAAAUAAAAGGCAACCUGAAACAAAAGCAACAUGAAUCAAUUUCAUUCUGAAAAGAACAGAAGUGAAACAAUGUUGCUAAAUGAGACACAAUUUCUGACAAAGAUCUUCUCUGUUCUCCAAGAACUUUUGUUGUGCUGGGCGUACCAAGAAUUAUGUGUUUUCUUCCCAAAAAGUCAGUGUAUUUUAUUUUAUGUGUGGUACCUCUCUUUGCCUCUUCUCCCCACUUGCUACAAUUUAAGCUGUCUAUUGUAGUGCCCUAUCUCUGAUCAGCCCUAAAGAUCUGAAAAGUCCUGAGUUUGCAAGAAUUAAAAAAAAAAAAAAUAGGGCCUUGGGUUUGACAGUGAUAGAUCCUACUGUCCCCUCGGGAUGAUAUUCCUG